ensembl:misc_RNA Metazoa_SRP Metazoan signal recognition particle RNA
GCUGGGCGUGGUGGCGCACGCCUGUAAUCCCAGCUACUCAGGAGGCUGAGGCAGGAGAACUGCUUGAACCCAGGAGGCGGAGGUUGCAGUGAGCCGGAAUCGUGCCACUGCACGCCAGCCUGGGUGACAGAGUGAGACUCUGUCUCCA